GGACUACUAGGGUAUCUAAUCCCUUUCGCUCCCCUGGCUUUCGUUCCUUAGCGUCAGUUAUGGCCCAGUAUCGCGCUUUCGCCGCCGGUGUUCCUCCUGAUAUCUACGCAUUUCACCGCUACACCAGGAAUUCCCGAUACCUCUACCACACUCUAGCCAUCCAGUUUCCAAUGCCAUGCCGAAGUUGAGCUUCGGGCUUUAACACCAGACUUAGAUAACCGCCUACGAACUCUUUACGCCCAAUAAUUCCGGACAACGCUUGCAUCCUACGUCUUACCGCGGCUGCUGGCAC
rnacentral:rRNA from 1 species